AUAAGCUGAUUGUUGAGAUGC
rnacentral:siRNA from 1 species